GUCUCUCUCUCUCUCUCUCUCACUAACAGGUCUCUCUCUCUCUCUCUCUCACUAACAGGUCUCUCUCUCUCUCUCACUAACAGGUCUCUCUCUCUCUCACUAACAGGUCUGUCUCUCUCUCUCUCACUAACAGGUCUGUCUCUCUCUCACUAACAGGUCUGUCUCUCUCUCUCUCUCUCACUAACAGGUCUGUCUCUCUCUCUCUCACUAACAGGUCUGUCUCUCUCUCUCUCACUAACAGGUCUGUCUCUCUCUCUCUCACUAACAGGUCUGUCUCUCUCUCUCUCACUAACAGGUCUGUCUCUCUCUCUCUCACUAACAGGUCUGUCUCUCUCUCUCUCACUAACAGGUCUCUCUCUCUCUCUCACUAACAGGUCUCUCUCUCUCUCUCACUAACAGGUCUCUCUCUCUCUCACUAACAGGUGUCUCUCUCUCUCACUAACAGGUGUGUCUCUCUCUCUCUCACUAACAGGUGUCUCUCUCUCUCUCACUAACAGGUGUCUCUCUCUCUCUCACUAACAGGUGUCUCUCUCUCUCUCACUAACAGGUGUUUCUCUCUCUCUCACUAACAGGUGUCUCUCUCUCUCUCACUAACAGGUCUCUCUCUCUCUCUCUCACUAACAGGUCUCUCUCUCUCUCUCUCACUAACAGGUCUCUCUCUCUCUCUCUCUCACUAACAGGUCUCUCUCUCUCUCUCUCCCACUAACAGGUCUCUCUCUCUCUCUCCCACUAACAGGUCUCUCUCUCUCUCCCACUAACAGGUCUCUCUCUCUCUCCCACUAACAGGUCUCUCUCUCUCUCCCACUAACAGGUGUCUCUCUCUCUCACUAACAGGUGUCUCUCUCU